UCCCGCGAGGGCCGCGCGGGCGGGCGGGGGCGGAGGCCACGAGGCGUGGCGUCCACACCGACGCGGGGAAGAUGGGCCCGAAAGGGACUCCCGCCCGCGGCCCGGCCUCCCAGCGCCUCCGUUGUUCCCCGGCGCCUGCCUUUCGGCGGCUCGCAGAUGCCUCCGGUCCCCACGGUGCCUCCGAAAAGCAGGUUAUGAGGUUGAUGUGAGGGAAUGAUAAAAAGCAUAUUCCCGCCUCCCCCAGCUUGCCAGCGGGGUGUGUGCAAGAACCAAGGGAGAGGCAAUAGAACUGUUGAAAGGGAGGACUGAAGACCUUUCAAAUGAAGGGAGAGCAAGAAAAUUAGGGGAAAUAGUUUCCUACAGAAGAUCUUGGGAGCCCUCGCUGGAUUGGCCCAGUGGAUAGAGCACUGGCCCUCGGACUGAAGGGUCCUGGGUUGGAUUCCGGUUUCGGGCAUGUACCUUGGUUACAGGCUCCACUCCUGGCCCUGAUCGGGGCACCUGUGGGAGGCAACCAAUGGAUGGGUCUCUUUCACAUCAAUGUUUCUCUCUCUGUGUCUCUCCCCUCCCUCACACUCUCUCUAAAAAUCAAUGGAAAAAUAUCCUUGAGUGAGGAUUAACAGCAACAACAACAAAAAAGAUCUUGGGAAAUAAAGUAGAGAUUCUUGCCCUGGGCAAGAAUGAGAGCAAAAAUAAUAAUUAUUCAUUGUAAGUACAUUCACUGAGUUCACUGUCUGAAAUUCCAAAGACGUUAUGAAAUAAUAGUCGGCAAAUGGGCUCAAGGGAACUUUCUGGAGCGAUGGAUGUGCUCUGAAACUGAUUUGUGGGGAGGGUUGCACAACUGCAUACCUUUACCGAAAAACAUGGAACUGUACACUUAUAAUGGGUUGGCUUUACGGCACACAAAUUGUAAUUCAACAAACCUGUCAACAUUAAGAAAAAUACACUAACAAGAGUCAUAUUCCAAUAAAUUACAUUUUUAUUAUAAGCAACAUCAAAAUGCUGUUUCUCUUCCUCCUCCCCAUCCUCUUUUUCUUCCUUUUUUUUUUUUUUUUCCUUUAAGUGCAUCCAGAGCAUGUAGCUAACAGCGAUGCCUUCUAAAACAGUGGUUCUCAACCUUGGCUGCACAUUAGAAUC